GGCUUGGUGGCGUAAUGGUAACACGCUUGCGUCCUUUAUGUAGUGUUCAUAUAUUGUUCGUGGUGAGUCCAGAGUUCGAUUCUCCAUCAAGCCA